CGUGCCUAAUACAUGCAAGUCGAGCGGAUUGUUCCUUCGGGAACAGUUAGCGGCGGACGGGUGAGUAACACGUAGGCAACCUGCCUGUAAGACCGGGAUAACUAUCGGAAACGAUAGCUAAGAGCGGAUAGCUGGUGGAUCGCAUGUUUAUUCAUGAAACACGGAGCAAUCUGUGGCUUACAGAUGGGCCUGCGGCGCAUUAGCUAGUUGGUGAGGUAACGGCUCACCAAGGCGACGAUGCGUAGCCGACCUGAGAGGGUGAUCGGCCACACUGGGACUGAGACACGGCCCAGACUCCUACGGGAGGCAGCAGUAGGGAAUCUUCCGCAAUGGACGCAAGUCUGACGGAGCAACGCCGCGUGAGUGAUGAAGGUUUUCGGAUCGUAAAGCUCUGUUGCCAGGGAAGAAUGCUAAGGAGAGUAACUGCUCUUUAGGUGACGGUACCUGAGAAGAAAGCCCCGGCUAACUACGUGCCAGCAGCCGCGGUAAUACGUAGGGGGCAAGCGUUGUCCGGAAUUAUUGGGCGUAAAGCGCGCGCAGGCGGUCAUUUAAGUUUGGUGUUUAAUUCCGGGGCUCAACCCCGGGUCGCACUGAAAACUGGGUGACUUGAGUGCGGGAGAGGAAAGUGGAAUUCCACGUGUAGCGGUGAAAUGCGUAGAGAUGUGGAGGAACACCAGUGGCGAAGGCGACUUUCUGGACCGUAACUGACGCUGAGGCGCGAAAGCGUGGGGGCAAACA
rnacentral:rRNA from 1 species